GGUAAUAACAUGGCUAUAUACAGGAAGUACCAGGUAAUAACAUGGCUAUAUACAGGGAGUACCAGGUAAUAACAUGGCUAUAUACAGGGAGUACCAGGUAAUAACAUGGCUAUAUACAGGAAGUACCAGGUAAUAACAUGGCUAUAUACAGGGAGUACCAGGUAAUAACAUGGCUAUAUACAGGGAGUACCAGGUAAUAACAUGGCUAUAUACAGGAAGGAGUACCAGGUAAUAACAUGGCUAUAUACAGGGAGUACCAGGUAGUAACAUGGCUAUAUACAGGGAGUACCAGGUAAUAACAUGGCUAUAUACAGGGAGUACCAGGUAAUAACAUGGC
rnacentral:lncRNA from 1 species